rnacentral:rRNA from 1 species
CUGAGGCUAAUACCCCAUAGGUGUGGAGGCCUGGAACGGUUCCACGCUGAAAUGUCAGCGCGUCCAUGUUGCGCGCGAGCGCCAGAGGAUGGGGCUGCGGCCGAUCAGGCAGUUGGUGAGGUAAUGGCUCACCAAACCUUUGACCGGUACGGGCCGUGAGAGCGGUAGCCCGGAGGUGGGCACUGAGACAAGGGCCCAGGCCCUACGGGGCGCAGCAGGCGCGAAAACUCCACAAUGCACGCAAGUGCGAUGGGGUCACCUCGAGUGCCGUCUGAAGAAGGCGGCUUUUCCACAGUGUAGCGAGCUGUGGGAAUAAGAGGGGGGCAAGACUGGUGUCAGCCGCCGCGGUAACACCAGCCCCUCGAGUGGUGGGGACGUUUAUUUGGCCUAAAGCGUCCGUAGCCGGCUCGGUAAGUCCCUCGUUAAAUCUAGCGUCCCAAGCGCUGGACUGCGAGGGAUACUGUCGAGCUUGAGGGGGGGAGAGGUCAGCGGUAUUUCCGGGGUAGGGGCGAAAUCCUUUGAUCCCGGGAGGACCACCAGUGGCGAAGGCUGCUGACUAGAACACGCCUGACGGUGAGGGACGAAAGCUGGGGGAGCGAAUCGGAUUAGAUACCCGAGUAGUCCCAGCUGUAAACGAUGCAGGCUAGGUGGUUGGAGCGGCCAUGCGCCGCUCCAGUGCCGCAGGGAAGCCCUUAAGCCUGCCGCCUGGGGAGUACGGCCGCAAGGCUGAAACUUAAAGGAAUUGGCGGGGGAGUACCACCAGGCGUGAAGCCUGCGGUUUAAUU